GGGCUUCGGCCCUGAUAGAGUGGCGAACGGGUGAGUAACGCGUGGGUGACCUACCUUCGAGUGGGGGAUAACGUUCCGAAAGGAGCGCUAAUACCGCAUGAAGUUCCGGGUUUGAACAUCUGGAAACCAAAGCCGGGGAUCGCAAGACCUGGCGCUUGGAGAGGGGCCCGCGUCUGAUUAGCUAGUUGGCGGGGUAAUGGCCCACCAAGGCGACGAUCAGUAGCCGGCCUGAGAGGGCGGACGGCCACACUGGGACUGAGACACGGCCCAGACUCCUACGGGAGGCAGCAGUGGGGAAUUGUUCGCAAUGGGCGCAAGCCUGACGACGCAACGCCGCGUGGGGGAUGAAGGUCUUCGGAUUGUAAACCCCUGUCGAGCGGGACGAAUGACUCGCGACCUAACACGUCGUGGGAAUGACGGUACCGCUAAAGGAAGCCACGGCUAACUCUGUGCCAGCAGCCGCGGUAAUACAGAGGUGGCAAGCGUUGUUCGGAA
rnacentral:rRNA from 1 species